CCUACGGGAGGCAGCAGUGGGGAAUAUUGGACAAUGGGCGAAAGCCUGAUCCAGCCCUGCCGCGUGUGUGAAGAAGGCCUUCGGGUUGUAAAGCACUUUCAGUGGGGAAGAAAGCCUUGGGGCUAAUACCCUCGAGGAAGGACAUCACCCACAGAAGAAGCACCGGCUAACUCCGUGGCAGCAGCCGCGGUAAUACGGAGGGUGCGAGCGUUAAUCGGAAUUACUGGGCGUAAAGCGCGCGUAGGCGGUCUGAUAAGCCGGUUGUGAAAGCCCCGGGCUCAACCUGGGAACGGCAUCCGGAACUGUCAGGCUAGAGUGCAGGAGAGGAAGGUAGAAUUCCCGGUGUAGCGGUGAAAUGCGUAGAGAUCGGGAGGAAUACCAGUGGCGAAGGCGGCCUUCUGGACUGACACUGACGCUGAGGUGCGAAAGCGUGGGUAGCAAACAGGAUUAAUACCCGGGUAGUC
rnacentral:rRNA from 1 species